GGUUGUUCCAGGCCAAUGGUCCCCAUUGCCAUGGGUGACAAGACCCGGGUCUCCUGCAUUGCAGGCAGAUUCUUGACUGUCUGAGCCACCAGGAAAGCCCAACAAGACCUACACAUCUCCCUAAAAAUGGAACCAAAGUAAAAAGCUAUUCCCUCCUGCUGGCAGCAGCCGCUGAGGAUGGUUUGGGUGUCUCUCUGCAUCUCCCUCUCCCUCCCUAAAAUCUCAGGGCUCCUGAAACACAACUCAGAGCUCUACUGGCCAAGCGACCCCUUGGACAUUCUGUGAGUGCCUCUGAUGACUCCCUCAGCUCCCCGACUUCUAGAAGCCACCUAUCGGGACCAAGUGGGCACCUCAGACCACCUAAGAGCCCAGAGGGGCCACGGCUCUGGGCAGCUGUGGAGGGAGAGAAGCUCCCAGAGUGCCUGGCCUGAGGCUCCUGGCUGAUCUGAUAAGAUGUGACAAGGCGGCCUGAAAAAUGUUGAAACCUGUAAAAUGCUGAAACCUGUUUUUUGCUGCGUUGUGAGCAUGGGGUGUUUUUUUUUUCCUCCUUCUCAAUUUCAUAGGAAAGUGGAGUUGAUCUGAGUGGAGAAGGGAGGGGGUAGGAGAGAGGGAUUGUCCCCUUCAGGCAAACCGAGGACCGUGGGGGGGUGGGGAGCACAGAGCAGG
rnacentral:lncRNA from 1 species